rnacentral:rRNA from 1 species
UACGUAGGGUGCGAGCGUUGUCCGGAAUUACUGGGCGUAAAGAGCUCGUAGGUGGUUUGUCGCGUUGUUCGUGAAAACCGGGGGCUUAACCCUCGGCGUGCGGGCGAUACGGGCAGACUUGGAGUACUGCAGGGGAGACUGGAAUUCCUGGUGUAGCGGUGGAAUGCGUAGAGAUCGGGAAGAACAUCGGUGGCGAAGGCGGCCUGCUGGGCCGUUGCUGACGCUGAGGCGCGACAGCGUGGGGAGCAAACAGG